CCUACGGGAGGCAGCAGUGAGGAAUAUUGGUCAAUGGCCGGAAGGCUGAACCAGCCAUGCCGCGUGAAGGUCAGUGCCCUAUGGGCGUUAAACUUCUUUUGUGCGGGAGCAAUAAUGGUCACGUGUGGCCAGACGAGAGUACCGUACGAAUAAGCAUCGGCUAACUCCGUGCCAGCAGCCGCGGUAAUACGGGGGAUGCAAGCGUUAUACGGAUUUAUUGGGUGUAAAGGGGUCGUAGGCUGUGAGGUAAGUCAUCGGUGAAAUGCCCACGCUCAAGGGGGUGAAGUGCGAUUGAUACUGCCGUGCUGGAAUGCGGAUGCCGUGGGAGGAAUGUGUGGUGUAGCGGUGAAAUGCAUAGAUAUCACACAGAACACCGAUUGCGAAGGCAUCUCACGAAUCCGCGAUUGACGCUGAUGCACGAAAGCGUGGGUAUCAAACAGGAUUAGAUACCCUAGUAGUC
rnacentral:rRNA from 1 species